GCAAGGAGGCACGAGCGGGGCAGGGCGCCGGGACAGGCUGGUCGUCAGUGGUCGGAACCACAGAAACUGCCCCACCAAUCCAGCUGGGUGGUUUGGAAGAAAGGCUCCUUGUUGCCGUUUGGGUGUUUAGACGUUACAGCCUCUCCUUGUGUCUUCCGGUUGACAGUGGGCUCAAACCAUUUACAGCCAGAAGAGGUUCUGAAUUGACUCCAACUUCAUGGUACAGAGGAGGACACUGAAGCUGAAAGGAUGGAGUGGCUUGUGAAGAGCAUCACGGGCGUGACCCAAGACUCCAGCAAACACUGGAUUCAUUUGGCCGGCCAUCUUUGAUCUCAGAGCUGGCCGAGGUGUGGAAGAACCAACGUGAACACCUAGGCCACAGAAACACGCCUUUGUCUCCCCCCACCAAGGAGGAGACAGCCUGGUGCAGCCGUUCGGCGCGACCGUCUGGAGAUGCGCUACCUGGUAGCGCAAUUCAAAUUCCAGCUCCACUGCCUGCUAGCUGGGCUGACUCAGAGCGCGUUUCCAUGCCUGAGUUCCUCCAUUGGGAAAACAAAUACAGAAGAUUAUUUGAGUAAAACAUAUAAAGUUGCCGGGAUUUGACUUUUUUUGAAUAUAAUCUUACUGUAAUAAGAUUCAAUUUUAUCUCACAAUAAGAUUAUUAGAUUGCGCCACAGAAAAUUGCCGAUAUUUGACUGUUUUCACAUGCAAAAAUGACAAUUUCUUUUUUGAAAAUGAAAAAUGGCCAUUUCAUGUUGGCUCAUCCAAAUGCCUACUUCAAGGUGUGAUUGAGAGAAAUAAGAGCAAAAAGUCACAUAGAGUGCUUUACCGAAGUGCCUGGUACACGGUGUGUGCUCAGUAAAGGUCAGCUCCUGCUCCCACUGUCGGGAGGCUCAGAUCAGUCACGUGCUGAGUGGCACGUCACUGUACCAGGCGCCUAAAAGGAAAAUAUCCAAAUCAAGUAGUCACCUUCUUGCCAAGGACCACCUGCGCGCGUGGAAGAGCGCUUACCACAUCACGAUGGAUAGAGUAAGAUGCACACUCAGGCCACGCUCGGUGUUCUCAGGACUCUAUCUUUGUCUCGCUCCCACGUGGAACGCUCCCUUCUCCUUCUGGGGCCAUCCUGCCCACCGCUGGCCGCUUUCAUAAGCUAGUCAGCAGGACUGGAAUGAUACCCGUAUCUACUCAGACAGAGAUUCCAGAAGUAUGCCUGAAAAUACACAUCAACUGGAAAGAUGCAAAUCUGAUGGGGGGAAGGGUUUGUGGGUCCUUUCUUUGCCUAGAACCACAGUCUCCGGAAGCCAGAUGGUUCCGAGCUCAGAAUUAGAUGCAGUUAUGGUAUUUGCAGGGAAGCUACAAGCCUACAAAUACAGUCUCCUGGGCAGAAAUAAAACUUCCUCAAGAUUCACUUAUUCCAGAUCUCACCAUGAUUCUGUGGAUCAGCACAAAGUCCUCCAAGGGAUGCUAGGGAGUUGCCUGUGACCCCUGGAUCCUCACCCGAAGGCUUUCCCUGAGACCCCGCCUUUCUCUUUGUGCUCCUUCCUCUUUGCCGUAGGUGGUGGGAAGAAAGGACCUGACUUAUUGUGCUGGUUGGAGUGAGAAGGAAAUAGAGGAAUUAUGAAAAAUCUAUGGGUAAGAGCUGGCCUCAAGGACACAACAGUAAAUAUCAACCUGUGAACUAGAUGUGACCAAACAGCAGAGUCGAUGGAGGCAGAUCGCCCGGAAUGCAAACAGCCAGCUUUUCUCCUGCUAGAUUCUGGGAUGCAACCCUUAGUCUGCGUACCAGGAACAUCGAUGCCAGGCUGAUUAUGAAUCAUAUUUGAAGAGGAGAGAAAUGGUGCCUUAAGGGCAGGUUUGCCCCAGUUCCCAACCCAGCCCGUCUCUCAACUGAACGGGUCCAAACACCCUCUCCUCAACAGAGUGACAAAUGAGGCACUGAAUCAGUGGAACUGUGAAUUCAAUCACUUAGCCUGAAUGGACAAAGCCCUACAAGAUGGAUUCCAUGACAUUGAAGAGGCUGACUCAUGUCAGGAGAAAGCAGUCUACAGACCACUGGAAGAAGAGCUUGAAAAAGUGAUAUAUUAAUUGCACCUAUUCUGCCCUAUCCCUGACACCUGAAACUCAUGUCUCCAACACUUAGGAAGAUGUGACAGAAUGUUCCAUCAAUAAAUAUGCAAACAAGACUGCUGACUUGAUUUCUGAUGAGCUAAGGCAAAGAAGAAACAAGACAGCACUGUUUGUUUUUUUUUUUUUUUUUUUUUUUUGUAUUAGGAAACUGCCUAGGGGAAAGAAUUCCACUGUCUCAAGAAAAAAAAAAAUCCUUAAGAGCCAAACUGUUCAUCUCAAUUGCAUCUGGAUUAUUAUUUGAAAAGAUUAAUAUUUGCUAACGUGACAUUUAUCAGCAUUGUAUACAGAGAUAGCAAACUUGCCAAAUUUGAUCUUUCUAAAAUGUUCUUCCUCUCUUUUCUUUUUUUUUAAAGACAAGAGAAUAUACUGUAGGAGUCUUAGUUUGGCAUUGGCUGGCAACAUCCUUGACCAGAUAAGUACCAGGGGGAAAAGAACUUACUGGAGGGUAUUUCUCAAUAAAACAGGCUUUAUUUUUAAAAAAUAGAAUCAAGAUAAUAUGGUGAACUGUAGACAAGAACAAUCUGGCUUAGUCUGACCAUGGAACAGCCUUAUUUCUUAACUCUUUCAGAAACUGGGAAAAGGAAUGAAGAGUUCUGGGUUUUUUGUUUUUGUUUUUUUUACUUUAUAAUUAACUCAGUUGGAAAUCUAGAAGUAGCUUACUUUUUCAGUGCUCUAGCUGACCAAAUU